AUUGAACGCUAGCGGGAUGCCUUACACAUGCAAGUCGAACGGAGUGGCGAACGGGUGAGUAAUGUCUCGGAACGUGCCCCGUAGCGGGGGAUAACUCCGCGAAAGCGUAGCUAAUACCGCAUACUAUUAGAGCGGCCGAUAUCGGAUUAGCUAGUUGGUGGGGUAAAGGCUCACCAAGGCGACGCUCCGUAGCUGGUUUGAGAGGACGACCAGCCACAAUGGGACUGAGAAACGGCCCAGACGCCUACGGGAGGCAGCAGUGGGGAAUGUUGGACAAGGGGGGAAAACCUGAUCCAGCCAUCCCGCGUGUGCGAUGAAGGCCUUCGGGGUGUAAAGCACUUUUGGCAGGAAAGCGGUACCGUCAGAAUAAGCACCGGCUAACUACGUGCCAGCAGCCGCGGUAAUAC
rnacentral:rRNA from 1 species